AUUCUACUCCCUCCGUUGCACAAUACGUGCCUUCUAUUUGUCAAAAUAUAUAUGUAUCUAGACAUGUUUUAGUAUAUAGGUACGUCCAUUUUUGCACAAAUGGAAGUCAAGUAUUUUGGGACAGAGGGAGCACACA
rfam:Triticum aestivum genome assembly, contig: Triticum_aestivum_CS42_TGACv1_scaffold_050134_1BS